rnacentral:piRNA from 1 species
UCGGGUUUUUUUGGUGACUGUACACAGG